UCCAGCAGUGACCACCAACACACAAGAGCUUCCCUCAGCACCAGGGAAGAUGGGACUUGGGUUCCACCUGCUUGUCCUGGCCGCAGCUCUGCAAGGUGCCUGGUCCCAGGGGCAGCUGGUAGAGUCUGGAGGAGAUGUGAGGAAACCUGGAGACUCUCUGCGCCUCUCCUGCAAAGCCUCUGGGUUCACCUUCAGUAGCAGCUACAUGGCCUGGGUCCGCCAGGCUCCUGGGAAGGGGCUGGACUUGGUGGCUGAUAUUAAUGGUGCUGGAUCCAGCCAGAGGUACUCCCCGGCUGUUAAGGGGCAAUUCACCAUCUCCAGAGACAACUCCCAGAACAUGGUGUACCUGCAGAUGAGCAGCCUCAAACCUGAGGACACAGCCCUGUAUCAGGGGAAGCGCUGGGGUGGGACUGAGCUAUCUGAGGUGGUGGAGGCACCGUCUCUAACAGUACUCUCCAAAGCCACCUCAGCAUCAGCAGAGACACAUCCAGCAGUCAAAUGCACCUGCACCUGACCAGGGUUCAGCCUGGAGACACAGCCCAGUAUAACUGUGCUAAAAAUACAGAGUGAAGGAAAACCUAUGGGAGCCUGCACACAAACCAGCCCUGCCGGACCCACCUGCCUGUGUACGAGUUAGAGGAAGCAGCUUCCAAUGCCAUGCUCAGUGUGCUCGGUCAGACACAUCAAGUCUAUUAGAUCACAAGAACCAGCCAGGUGUAUCCUUGCUGCAGCACUGAUUAAC